UGCGUAGGCGGGCUAAUAAGUCAGUGGUGAAAUCUCUCGGCUCAACCGGGAAACUGCCAUUGAUACUGUUAGUCUUGAGUUCGGUUGAGGUAGGCGGAAUGUGUAAUGUAGCGGUGAAAUGCUUAGAUAUUACACAGAACACCAAUUGCGUAGGCAGCUUACUAGACCGACACUGACGCUGAGGCACGAAAGCGUGAGGAGCGAACAGGAUUAGAUACCCUGGUAGUCC
rnacentral:rRNA from 1 species